rnacentral:rRNA from 1 species
AUUGAACGCUGGCGGCAGGCCUAACACAUGCAAGUCGAACGGCAGCACAGAAGAGCUUGCUCUUUGGGUGGCGAGUGGCGGACGGGUGAGUAAUGUCUGGGAAACUGCCCGAUGGAGGGGGAUAACUACUGGAGACGGUAGCUAAUGCCCCAUAACGUCGCAAGACCAAAGUGGGGGACCUUCGGCACUCCACCACUCGGAUGUCCCAUGUUGGGAUUAGCUAGUGGGUGGGGUAAUGGCUCACCUAGGCGACGAUCCCUAGCUGGUCUGAGAGGAUGACCAGCCACACUGGAACUGAGACACGGUCCAGACUCCUACGGGAGGCAGCAGUGGGGAAUAUUGCACAAUGGGCGCAAGCCUGAUGCAGCCAUGCCGCGUGUAUGAAGAAGGCCUUCGGGUUGUAAAGUACUUUCAGCGGGGAGGAAGGCGGUGAGGUUAAUAACCUUGCCGAUUGACGUUACCCGCAGAAGAAGCACCGGCUAACUCCGUGCCAGCAGCCGCAGUAA